GGAUAACAGCGUAAUAGUUUUGGAAAGUACAUAUUUAUAAAACUGAUUGCGACCUCGAUGUUGAAUUAAGAAAGUAAUUAAAUGUAGAAGUUUAAUAUUUAAGUCUGUUCGACUUUUAAAAUCUUACAUGAUUUGAGUUUAGAUCGGCGUGAGCCAGAUCAGUUUCUAACUAUAAUC
rfam:Trachymyrmex zeteki contig10241, whole genome shotgun sequence.